UUUAUGGAGAGUUUGAUCCUGGCUCAGGACGAACGCUGGCGGCGUGCCUAAUACAUGCAAGUCGAGCGAACAGAAAAGGAGCUUGCUCCUUUGACGUUAGCGGCGGACGGGUGAGUAACACGUGGGCAACCUACCCUAUAGUUUGGGAUAACUCCGGGAAACCGGGGCUAAUACCGAAUAAUCUCUUUUGCUUCAUGGCAAGAGACUGAAAGACGGUUUCGGCUGUCGCUAUAGGAUGGGCCCGCGGCGCAUUAGCUAGUUGGUGAGGUAACGGCUCACCAAGGCGACGAUGCGUAGC
rnacentral:rRNA from 1 species